rnacentral:tRNA from 1 species
GACUGGAUAGCCUAGUGGUCAAAGGCAACACUUUUAGCACAGUGUCUCAGCUUAUGAUGAUGUCCCAGGUUUCAAUCCUGGUCUAGUCA